UCUUAAUAAGUAGUAACACAUGUAGAUUAGAAUUUAAAUUAAAUGUGGUUAUUAUCUUAUUUGGUUGGGGUGACAUGAAGUAAAUUAACACUUCAAACUAAAACUUAAAUUAGAGGAUACAUGAUCCGGUACCCGAUUAAAAAUAUAAGU
rnacentral:rRNA from 1 species